AAUUCUAUAUACAUACAAAAAGGAGGAGAAAAACAAUAGCCAGUUUUAAAACUUAAGUUUUUAUAUAAAUAUCCUCAAAUUUUUCUCAGCAAAAAUCUGUUACCUAAGAGGGGGAUAUCAUUGCUUGAAAUUUCAGUGAAUGAUUUAUAAUAGAUAGUGGACAAUGCUGUUCUUUUUGUCAGACAGGUUAAAUGAUAGUUCAAAUUAAAUCAUAAUAAUUAUGAUAUUUCAUACCAUUUCAGAAAAAGUAACAAUGCUUUGUGUCUAUGAGAUUAUCUUAAGUGGAUACCUCUUUAAGUAGUUCCAUACAAUAAUUAUUGAGAAAUUUUCGAAGAAGCUGAACUGUCAGAGUUAAUAUAAUUCUAUUUUCUAUGACGCAAUGAAAGCAUCUUUAAGUUAAUGCUCAAUUGGUAGACAUUAGGUAAUUUUUUAAUUAGCAAAAUUUGUUUUGAAAAACAUCACUUUUUUUAAUUACUUAUUGAUCAGAGUUUUAUCAAGAACUGAAAUACAAGCUUUAUAAAUAACUGUUAAACAACGUAUAUAUUUUUCAAACAAAAACGAACAUGGAGUUAGCUGAAUCGUCAAAAACUAUUAAGACAAUUACAGGUUUGGAUUUUGAUAGGUAAUAUACGUUGCAUGUCUCUGUCUUGUUGAAGGGAUGACUGAGUGUGGAGUAUAUAGCAGCUGAUUCUUUAUUUUUACAUCGUCUAUGAUGCCAUGAAAGUUUGAAGAUACUGUCUUGUAUAAUAAUGUGAUCAAACAAUAAAUUAAGCGCAGGUC
rnacentral:sRNA from 1 species